UUUCUUACUUGCUUAUGGGUACCCCUAGGGGUCCAUAGGUAUGUCCCAAACUUGUGAAUUUAAUAUCUAAUUUUAACAAUUAACUGGCCGUUCCUAUACUUUAUUCGAUAAUGGGUGCCAAACAUUCCAUUGUCUCGAUACUCCGUUCGGUAUGAGAGUGAACCAUAUCUCUCAAACCUUUUCGGUAUGGGACUUUCCAGCCUCGUCCAACUGAGGUGACGUUUAAGGUAUGGUUCU
rnacentral:lncRNA from 1 species